GCUGGGUGUGGUGCCUCUCCUUGCUCCCUCUGUUGUGGGGAGGAGCUGUGUCCCACCUCCCCCUCUCUAUACCUGUUCAUAAGCUGACCCCCUUCUGUGAUGCUUCCCUUUUUUACUAAAAAAAUUAGGCUUAUGAAUGAGUAUAUAUUGUAAUAGUCAUUCACACUUUAA